rnacentral:rRNA from 1 species
GGGGAAUAUUGCACAAUGGGCGCAAGCCUGAUGCAGCCAUGCCGCGUGUGUGAAGAAGGCUUCGGGUUGUAAAGCACUUUCAGCGGGGAGGAAGGCGAUAAGGUUAAUAACCUUGUCGAUUGACGUUACCCGCAGAAGAAGCACCGGCUAACUCCGUGCCAGCAGCCGCGGUAAUACGGAGGGUGCAAGCGUUAAUCGGAAUUACUGGGCGUAAAGCGCACGCAGGCGGUCUGUCAAGUCGGAUGUGAAAUCCCCGGGCUCAACCUGGGAACUGCAUUCGAAACUGGCAGGCUAGAGUCUUGUAGAGGGGGGUAGAAUUCCAGGUGUAGCGGUGAAAUGCGUAGAGAUCUGGAGGAAUACCGGUGGCGAAGGCGGCCCC